GGGGGCGUACGAGUACCUGGUGGGCUCCGCUGUCUUCAACACAGUCGGAACGGGCGAUCCCCGUUCGGCGGGUUCGAUUCCCGUCCGCCUCCGCCA
rnacentral:tRNA from 1 species